rnacentral:rRNA from 1 species
UACGGAGGGAGCUAGCGUUAUUCGGAAUUACUGGGCGUAAAGCGCACGUAGGCGGCUUUGUAAGUAAGAGGUGAAAGCCUGGUGCUCAACACCAGAACUGCCUUUUAGACUGCAUCGCUUGAAUCAUGGAGAGGUGAGUGGAAUUCCGAGUGUAGAGGUGAAAUUCGUAGAUAUUCGGAAGAAACACCAGUGGCGAAGGCGGACUCACGUGGACACUGUAUUGACGCUGAGGUGCGAAAGCGUGGGGAGCAAACAGGAUUAGAAACCCGU